CGGAGAGUCAUUAAUUUCCAUGAAUGUACAGAUGGGUUGAUGUUAGACUAUGGCAGGGAAUGGUACCUCUGGAUUGAAACCCUGCACUUUGAUCCUUUGACAAUAUUUUAACUGAAAAACAUGAGGAUGCUGCUGCCCUGGUGGAGGCACUCGUAUAAGCUGUUUGAGGGCAUGGAUUGAUGGAGUCGUUAACUAAAUAGAGAACAGUUUUACAAAUUUUGAUAUCAUUCCAAAAGGCUGCUCAUAAAAAUGGGCCCUGUAAGAGAUAAGUUAGGGUUUAAUGAGUUACUGUGAUGACUUGUUGCAAGGAUGAGUAUCAGUUCAAGCAUCUGCAAGCCAUAGGCUUUUGUGUCACAAAUUAUGGUAAGCAUGAUAUUUUGUGAAAGGAUUAGUCAAGCUUUAUGUUGAGGACUGAUUUAUCUGCUUUAAUUCUAAGAAAUAAAAAA